CCUACGGGUGGCAGCAGUGGGGAAUAUUGGACAAUGGGCGAAAGCCUGAUCCAGCCAUGCCGCGUGUGUGAAGAAGGCCUUCGGGUUGUAAAGCACUUUCAGUGGGGAAGAAAGCCUUGGGGCUAAUACCCUCGAGGAAGGACAUCACCCACAGAAGAAGCACCGGCUAACUCCGUGCCAGCAGCCGCGGUAAUACGGAGGGUGCGAGCGUUAAUUGGAAUUACUGGGCGUAAAGCGCGCGUAGGCGGUCUGAUAAGCCGGUUGUGAAAGCCCCGGGCUCAACCUGGGAACGGCAUCCGGAACUGUCAGGCUAGAGUGCAGGAGAGGAAGGUAGAAUUCCCGGUGUAGCGGUGAAAUGCGUAGAGAUCGGGAGGAAUACCAGUGGCGAAGGCGGCCUUCUGGACUGACACUGACGCUGAGGUGCGAAAGCGUGGGUAGCAAACAGGAUUAGAUACCCGAGUAGUC
rnacentral:rRNA from 1 species